UACGAAGGACCCGAGCGUUAUCCGGAUUUAUUGGGUUUAAAGGGUGCGUAGGCGGACUAGUAAGUCAGUGGUGAAAGCCUGUUGCUUAACAACAGAACUGCCAUCGAUACUGCUAAUCUUGAGUACAUAUGAUGUGGGCGGAAUGUGCCAUGUAGCGGUGAAAUGCUUAGAUAUGGCACAGAACACCGAUUGCGAAGGCAGCUCACAAAACUGUUACUGACGCUGAGGCACGAAAGCGUGGGGAUCAAACAGG
rnacentral:rRNA from 1 species